rnacentral:sRNA from 2 species
GCAGCGCGAUUACAACCCAUACCAAACAAGGAAAAGAUAUAGUUCUCAUACCCGCUUUGGCGUGUUCCUGAGCGAUGAUUAAGAACAACAACAACAGGACCUCGAGUAGAAUCAAUGCAAGCCCUUGACUUAAUAAACCGCAAUAGUCCAUGCCCUUUCUCGACUUGCGCCGCGCUGUCAUAACUAAUCUUUCGAUCGAGGCGGUCCUCGCAUAUUCCUACUUACCCGUUGCGGCGCACGGGUAAAUUGUCCGGAUUCUGCUCUGUUCGAUAUAUUGGGAGUGGAGCCACCAUUUCCAGGACCUUGGGCGCGUGUAUGGGCAAGAUGUUGCUGUGGACCCCAUUUAUCGUCUGCCAGAGCUGCUGCGACUAGAUUUCUCGAAGUUGGUUCACGGGCACUCCGACUGCCAUCUCCGAGGAUCACAGCAGGUACGGCCGGAGGGAAAGGUGGUUGAUUUGCUCGCUUACGCUUGUGCCGACGCUUUAAAUAAAUCAAGAGGAGAGCAAAAACGGUGAACCCAACCGCUAGUGCGAUUAUCAUCACCACCCAUCUCCAGUGGGAGGAAAACCUAUCGGAGUUUAGUGGACGAAGGCUUGAAGUUCUAUUUCGAGGUGCCUCCCAUGGUUGUCCAGCGCAACUUGGGUUGAGUGAAAGAAUGAUGGGAAGCAAUGAGCGCAACUUCGACAUACCAACUUGAUGGGGCUUCAUGAGUGACUGUUGAAGCUGUUCCAGUCCUAGGAUGGGAUUCCGGAACAUUGGAUGUGGCGGUGGUUGUAGCCGGAUUGCCUGAUGCGCAGAACUGUGCAUACCAUUUCUGCAGGGUAAUUAGAUCCGCCGGCGGACAUACUGCGUCGCAGACUCCAUUGGGAGAGCUGUGGAGGGCCCGCAGAAGAGUCGAUUGGCAAAAACACGAGCUAUAAGUGGCUUGGUUUGUUACAGGUGCCGCUGGAGGGAUGCAAUUCGCCUGCGCCUUGUGAAGAAGUGGACAUGCAACAGCGCACCCAGGAAAGGCUGCUGAGCCGGUAGUCGGUAUGAGAGAUUGACAUACAACUGACGUAAAAGCGGCAGUGGAGACGAAGAGGAACCUUCUCAUCACGGCGUACUUCCAGCUUCUUUUUAGAGAACGCAAUACGCGGAUAGCAUUGGAGGAAAAAUGAGUAGUUAGUUCAUUGCAUCAAUAUUGGACUUCCUUGACCAUAUUGUUAGUGUCAUCGUUUUCCGCAAAUCCCCGGCGAUAUGUUGUGGAGGUCUCUAGGCAAGUGCAUCACCCCCUGUAGGUGGCAGUGAGCAGGCAUGGCCAUGGUGAUCAUUGUGGUUAGCAGGUAAGCGCCUUGAUGUAACCAAAGACAAAGAAAGGUGCAGGCCAAGUCUUUCUUUGAUCAAGCGCUUCAGAUCCAAUGGCUUUGAAUUCGAAAAUCAAGGGAGGGGGGAAAGGAUAAACCAGGGCCUUCCUGUGUGCCUCUACUGCUAUUUAGCCUACAUUGAAAUUUGACACAUCGAACUAAAAUGGCCAGGAAUAAAAAUAUGGUGGACCAGGAAACAAGUGAGACAUUUCAACUCCAGAUUACACUUUUAAAGUCCUCGCACAUGUAAAAGAGUUUAGGUAAUAAAAUCUGUUAUAAAACACCUUGCUGUUCAGUUAGAUGGCAAGAUCUCAACCUGGUACUCGCAGUUACCUUAUAUUCUUAGCGUGGUGAUUAUAAUUUAAAUUCAAAACAACCAACAUGAC